rnacentral:rRNA from 1 species
UACGUAGGGUGCGAGCGUUGUCCGGAAUUAUUGGGCGUAAAGGCUCGUAGGCGGUCUGUCACGUCGGAAGUGAAAACUCGGGGCUUAACUCCGAGCCUGCUUCUGAUACGGGCAGACUAGAGGUAUGCAGGGGAGAAUGGAAUUCCUGGUGUAGCGGUGAAAUGCGCAGAUAUCAGGAGGAACACCGGUGGCGAAGGCGGUUCUCUGGGCAUGACCUGACGCUGAGGAGCGAAAGUGUGGGGAGCGAACAGG